UGACUCAUGGAGCUUAAUGUUUCACCUUCAAAGCCAACCUUUCCAUCUUCUGAUAGCAACGAUGAUCCUGAAGAGAAAGAAAUCAGUGAAGAGGAUGAUGAUGAUCGCAAUCACAAGCAUCGUAGGAGAGAAUUGCAUUCUCAAUCUGAAGAGACAGAGGCUGUUGAACCAGUUUUCAGUAGACCAUUCAGGAAACGAAACAAGCCUUUUGAAAAUGGACAUCCUUAUGGGGAAGGGAACUCUCAGUUAAGUGAAACCAAGCUCCCAAGAAGACGAGGUAUGGGCUCAUUUUCGAGAGCCCCUCAGGAUUCAUACCAAAGAAUCAGGGUGAAUCAAUCACUGUUCGGUGAUGCUGGUAACGGUAGGGGUCGAGGAAGAGACCUUAAUGCCUGGGGCCAACGUGAUUCCAGGUUCAGCUCAGUGGUUAUUGCAUCUCAACUGUUUCCACAGGGCUCUGUUACUCCCGGUCUCUUAACUGGAAGAGGGGUGGAAAACAUUGCUAAUGCACAGAGUUCAUCUUGGAG
rnacentral:misc_RNA from 1 species